rnacentral:rRNA from 1 species
UACGAAGGGUGCAAGCGUUACUCGGAAUUACUGGGCGUAAAGGGUGCGUAGGUGGUUGUUUAAGUCUGUUGUGAAAGCCCCGGGCUCAACCUGGGAAUGGCAAUGGAUACUGGACAGCUAGAGUGCGGUAGAGGGUAGUGGAAUUCCCGGUGUAGCAGUGAAAUGCGUAGAUAUCGUGAGGAAGACCAGUGGCGAAGGCGGAUCUCUGGACAGCUCCUGACGCUGAGGCGCGAAGGCUAGGGGAGCAAACGGG